rnacentral:rRNA from 1 species
CAGUCGCCGCGGUAAUACGUAGGGUGCGAGCGUUAAUCGGAAUUACUGGGCGUAAAGCGUGCGCAGGCGGUUGUGUAAGACAGGUGUGAAAUCCCCGGGCUUAACCUGGGAACUGCGCUUGUGACUGCACAGCUAGAGUAUGGCAGAGGGGGGUGGAAUUCCACGUGUAGCAGUGGAAUGCGUAGAGAUGUGGAGGAACACCGAUGGCGAAGGCAGCCCCCUGGGCCAAUACUGACGCUCAUGCACGAAAGCGUGGGGAGCAAACAGGAUUAGAUACCCGCGUAGUCCCUGUCUCUUAUAA